GACGAACGCUGGCGGCGUGCUUAACACAUGCAAGUCGAGCGGAGCGGCGAACGGGUGAGUAACGCGUGAGUAACUGCCCCCCUCUCUGGGAUAACAGUUGGAAACGGCUGCUAAUACCGGAUAGUGGGGGGGGACUCGCGUCCUAUCAACUUGUUGGUGGGUUAGUGGCCUCCCAAGGCGACGACGGGUCGACGGCCUGAGAGUGCGACCGGCCGCAUUGGGCUGAGAGACGGCCCAAACUCCUACGGGAGGUAGCAGUGGGGAAUAUUGCACAAUGGUGGAAACCGUGAAGCAGCAACGCCGCGUGCGGGAUGACGGCCUUCGGGUUGUAAACCGCUUUCAGCCAUGACGCGGUAGUUGCAGAAGAAGCACCGGCUAACUACGUGCCAGCAGCCGCGGUAAUAC
rnacentral:rRNA from 1 species